rnacentral:lncRNA from 1 species
CCCUCCCCAUUUUUUCUUCAGAUAAUUAAGGGGCAUAACUUUUGAAUUUUAAAUGUCAAAAUGGAACUUGACCUGUAUUUAAAUGAUAAUGACAUUGUUUAACAAGAAUGUGUCCAUAGUAUAUGGAUGCCCAACUUGUACUAUCAUUUAUACCAUGUUCAGUGAACCAUGCAAAUGGAGUCAAAACUCUAAUUUGGCAUUAGAAUUAGAAAGAUCAUAUCAUAGGGAACAUGUGAACUAAGUUUCAAG